AAAAAUGCCAGCUAAGUUACGUCUGUAUAUACAGACGCGUCAGAGGCUGGCUAGAACGCGACUGAUUGAGUUCCCAGAGCAAUCUGGGUGAUUGGCAGUCAUACAAU
rnacentral:snoRNA from 1 species